GACGAACGCUGGCGGCGUGCUUAACACAUGCAAGUCGAACGGGCCUUGUCCCCUUUUUUUUUGGGGGUGGGGUUAGUGGCGAACGGGUGAGUAACACGUGAGUAACCUGCCCCUCACUUCUGGAUAACCGCUUGAAAGGGUGGCUAAUACGGGGUGUUCUGGCCUGCUCGCAUGGGUGGGUUUGGAAAGAUUCGACCGGUUUUGGUUGUUUUGGUGGGGGAUGGGCUCGCGGCCUAUCAGCUUGUUGGUGGGGUGAUGGCCUGCCAAGGCUUUGACGGGUAGCCGGCCUGAGAGGGUGGGCGGUCAUACUGGGACUGAGACACGGCCCAGACUCCUACGGGAGGCAGCAGUGGGGAAUAUUGCACAAUGGGCGCAAGCCUGAUGCAGCGACGCCGCGUGAGGGAUGGAGGCCUUCGGGUUGUGAACCUCUUUCGCCAGUGAAGAAGGUCCUGCUCUUUGUGGUGGGGUUGACGGUAGCUGGGUUAAUGAAGCGCCGGCUAACUACGUG
rnacentral:rRNA from 1 species